rnacentral:rRNA from 1 species
UACGAAGGGGGCUAGCGUUGCUCGGAAUUACUGGGCGUAAAGGGCGCGUAGGCGGCACUGUUAGUCAGGCGUGAAAGUCCUGGGCUCAACCUGGGAACUGCGCUUGAUACGGCAGAGCUAGAGGAUGGAAGAGGGUCGCGGAAUUCCCAGUGUAGAGGUGAAAUUCGUAGAUAUUGGGAAGAAUACCGGUGGCGAAGGCGGCGACCUGGUCCAUUACUGACGCUGAGGCGCGACAGCGUGGGGAGCAAACAGG